UGACUGAGGAUCUGAGCCUUAACAGGGCUCAAUAACCUAAGCGCUCAUUGAAUCAGAGGGCGCUGAGGUUGCUCAGAGAAUGGGGAAGCAGAGAACAGAUGAAAUCACAAAAGGUUCUGGCAUGCUUGGGACAAACUUUCAGAUUUUGUGUCCCAUACUCAGUCUCCUUCUCUAUCACCAUCUGGGAACACAAGAUGAAAUCAGAGCCCCUAUGAAGAUUGCUUAGGAUGAUUGCAUCAACUUGUGCUGAUCUGUGCAAGAAGCCAGACCAGGUGGGAAUCACAAGCUCCGAUUCAGGACCCAAAGGAUGCGUACACCUCAUGUGAAAGGAAAGGAGAGAGAAAAGAGGCUUUUGAAGGAAGACUUUAGGUCUGUUCAGGACUAAGCUUUGGUCCAUUAUUUGAAGCAAAUCUCAUGAAGCAGAUUAAUUAUAGACAGCAAGACUAAUGCCAUAAUGAUUAUUACUGUCAAAGGCACCUAACUCCUUCAGAUUCCCUUGAAAAUCCCUGUGCUGAUGUAUGUUGCACUGACAGAGUGCAGUAAGAGCUCUGACUAGCACAGGAAGAAAAAGCUCCCACAAUUUUCACGCUUCAUCUAUGGUUUCCAUAGCAGAUUUGGCAACAUCUUAAACCUUCCUCAGCCCUAUACCUAUUAUCAGUUGCGUUAUGUUACAGUGCUGCAUUUUAAUUGCUGUGUUUUCUGAGACAGAGGGAGCUGAAUUUAAAUAUAUCUCAAGCACCAGCAGUGAUAUUUAGCACAGCUACCGUAAUUAAGUAUUCAGCCUUCACCAACAAAUAAACUUCUCACUUGAGCAAAUGGGUUCUCUGAAAAACACCUGAAUGUUUGACAAAAUUCCAUUUUCUGUUAUUUUAAUAUCAUUAGGAGGCCUUGGCUUUCUUGAUUGGCUGGGUGUGCAUCUAAACUGCCAAGAAAUUACCCAUUUUCGAUCACAGCUCUUUUCCUUUUACGAAUGCAGACAUUGACAGCUCUAACAAAGAUGCUCAGCUAGGAAGCUUUUUCUCCUGUAAGAGAAAUGAAAUAUUGCUGAGUUAAAACCACUAAUUACAGUUUAGAAUAACAAUACUUCCUGGAAAAAAAAAUAAAAAUUAAACUACACUUAACUGCUGGGGGCUUUUUUCUUUAAACUAGGGGUUUGACUACAGUCUGAUGGCUAACUACUUGCAAAAAUCUUCCCAAUUGCUACAGUCUAGCUGGUAGAUUCCAGAGCAAAAAAACCACCCC
rnacentral:lncRNA from 1 species